AUUGAACGCUGGCGGCGGGCUUAACACAUGCAAGUCGAGCGGGGGGAGGUAGCUUGCUACCGGACCUAGCGGCGGACGGGUGAGUAAUGCUUAGGAAUCUGCCUAUUAGUGGGGGACAACAUCUCGAAAGGGAUGCUAAUACCGCAUACGUCCUACGGGAGAAAGCAGGGGAUCUUCGGACCUUGCGCUAAUAGAUGAGCCUAAGUCGGAUUAGCUAGUUGGUGGGGUAAAGGCCUACCAAGGCGACGAUCUGUAGCGGGUCUGAGAGGAUGAUCCGCCACACUGGGACUGAGACACGGACCAGACUCCUACGGGAGGCAGCAGUGGGGAAUAUUGGACAAUGGGGGGAACCCUGAUCCAGCCAUGCCGCGUGUGUGAAGAAGGCCUUAUGGUUGUAAAGCACUUUAAGCGAGGAGGAGGCUACUUUAGUUAAUACCUAGAGAUAGUGGACGUUACUCGCAGAAUAAGCACCGGCUAACUCUGUGCCAGCCGCCGCCGUAA
rnacentral:rRNA from 1 species